rnacentral:lncRNA from 1 species
AUGCCACCAUACACACAUCUCAUCACACAGACUCCACAUAACAAUUAUAUGCGUCACACAGACCAUACACACAUCACCCUAUCAUGUACACACUUAGCAACACAUCUAACUAUACACACAUACCCACUUCACAUACACCACAUAACAAUCAUACACACCAAACUACACACACAUGCAACACAUUCCACAUACCAGUACGGUGCACCACAUAUGCAUCUCUCUCUUUCUCUCUCUCACACACACACACACACACACACACCCCCCACCCACCCACUGGCACCCAGCUUGGUUACUUUCCGGCUCAGUAAAGCGGGCCUGCAGCCUCGGCCGAGUCUGGGGCUGGCCGUGGUCGCUGCGGUUCGGCACGAGGCGCGGGGCUGGGGUUCGGGAUCUCAGGGUCUCAAGUGGGGCCGGGCUGGCCGCUUCCGCCUGACGUGCGGCCACCCUGGGGGAGUGCGCGCGUGUGCACGUGCCCGCGCCUCCGAGGGCUGUCUGUGCCCAGAACCCGGGAAGGCGUGUGCGAGGGAAGACGUGAGACGCGCGUGGGGAGCGGCUGUGUGCGCAAGAACGCCUCGCGGGCAGGGGCGCAGAGACCAGCCCAGGGAGCGGCUCGGGGCACGUGCGCUCGGUGUGCCCAGCCCUCCGUGGAGCGUGGACGUGUGUGUCCCUUCUCGAGACGACCCAGCUCGGAAGGAGGUGUGUGUGGGAAGCGUGCGUGUAAGCUGGGGUGCGUGGGAAUGCCAAGCCGCCGAGGCGUGCGUAUGUCCACAGCAGCCCUCCAUUGGCCGGGGUCGGUCUCCGAGCACCGAGCGCGCGUGCGGCAGGGACUCGCUCGCCGUGAGGGGAGGGCGCGCCGACGACCGCGCUCGCCCGCAGGCUGGGUGCGAAGAGGCGGGGCUUGCGGACGGCCGCGUGGCGUCGGCCGGGGCCGCCAGCGCGCGCGUGUGCGCGUGCGUGUGCGCGUGGGGGCGCGGCGCGCGCCGCAGCGGAGGGGGCAGGGAGGCGGCGGCGGCGGCGGCAGGCCCAGCCCCCGGUCGCAGCGCCCGGGGCGGCUCCUCUGCCAGCCUGGGACCGCCGCGCUCCCGCCGCCGCCGCCGCCGCCGCCCGCGACCCGCGCUGGCGUGA